rnacentral:pre_miRNA from 1 species
ACUUGGUCGACAAUUUAAUAGUAUCUGAUUAAUUGAUGGAUAGUAUUAGUUGUGCGACCAGGAAA